AGACACCCCUGCUGUCUCUGAGUCCACAGCCUGGUCCAGGAGGCCUGGCUCUCCCAGCAGCCGCCUUCCCUUCUCCAUGCCAGAUCUGUUUCCUACCCAGGACAGAACCAACACCUUGUUUUUCCCCUAACUGACUGCUCCUCUGUCUGGAAAAUCUUUUCUCGUUUUAUUUGAAGAGCAGAACUGUUCCUUCCUCCCCCUUGGUGAUGAGGAAACAUUCUGUUGAAUUUGGCAUCCAGGCUCCUAGGAGACCUUGGUUGUUUGUAAUUUGAUGCUAUCAGGUUGUUGCAUAACCUUUCCCGCUGGGAAGCAGUCUCUGCAUCCUGGGCCUUCUGUCCAGUUUGGGGUCGGGGGUGGGGCGGGGAAAAGUCAGAGGUGCUGUGAGGUGACAGAGCAAGGGAUAAGGGACUCUGGCUGUUGGCCCUGGCUGGGGACAGGGCCUGCUGAUAGGGACCUAGAGGAAGUCAAACUGCGUCUCUUUCUGGGCCUUUGGCCACCAGGCUUGGUGGAAUGUCCUCAUCCCAUACUCAGGGCCACCCCAGGCCAGCCGGAGUCCUGGGUCUGAAUAGAGGCCAGGCCGCCCUGUGUUUCUAGAAAACGAGUACACUGUAGGCAUCCUUGGCAAGGGGACAUACUACACUUAGAAACAAAGCCUGCUUCUUUAUUUUAUUUUUGUAGAGACAGGGUCUCACUCUGUUGCCCUGGCUGCAGUGCAGUGGUCUGAUCAUGGCUCACUGCAGCCUUGACCUCCGGGGCUCAAGCAAUCCUCCUGCUUCAGCCUCCCUAGUAGCUUAGUAGCUGGGACUGCAGGUGUGUGCCACCAUGCCUGGAACACUACAAUUUUUUUUUUUUUUUUUUUUUUUUUUUUUACAGAGAUGGAGCAGAGGGGUCUUGCUUGUUGCCCAGGCUGGUUUCGAACUCCUGGCUUCAAGUGAUCUUCCUUGCAUCGGCCUCCCAGAGUGCUGGUGUUACAAGUGCGAGCCACUGCACUGGGCUGAAAGCCUGCUUCUUUAGAAGGUUAUUAGAAUGUGCACUCCUCAGAACAGGCACUCUACCCAGUCACAAAUGCUAAUGCCUUUGUGGGCCAGGCAGGUGAUAUAAAGGAACACAUGUUUGUUUUUGUCAGUUAUGGGCAGUGUUAGGAAUUCAAUAUGCUGGAGAGAGGACCCUGUCGAAUGACAUUCAGCAUUAGUUAAAUGAAAAACACUAGGCAUGCCCAACCAAACUGUCGGAGGUUGUGAUCUCUGCUAUUUUCUCCCUACAGGUAAUUUGGUUGGCACUUCUCUGGCAGGCAUUAUGCAAAAGUACCUUGCUUGAAGCUUUAUGUACACUGUCUUAUAUAACUGUUCCCACAGCCCUGUGAGAUACGUACAACUGACCUUUGAGCGACACGGAUUUGAACUGCAUGGGUCCACGUAAUACAUGAAUUUUCUUCUGCCACUGCCACCCCUGAGACAGCAAGACCAACCUCUCCUCUUCCUCCUCCUCUUCUUCCUUAGCCUACUCAACGUGAAGACAACGAGGAUGAAGCCCUUUAUGAUGAUCCACUUCCACUUAAUGAAUAGAAAAUAUAUUUUGUCUUUCUUCCAAUUUUCUUUUUCCUUCCUUCCUUCCUUCUACCUUCCUUCCUCCUUCCUUCCUUCCUUUCUCUCUUUCUUUCUUUCUUUACUCUUUUUUUUUUGGACAGUCUUGCUGUGUUGCCCAGGCUAGAGGGCAGUGAUCUAAUCAGAGCUCACUGCUGCCUCAACCUCCUGGGCUCAAGCGAUCAUCCCACCUCAGCCUCCCAAGUAACUUGGACUACCAGCUAGGACUCCCAAGUAGCUGGGACUACCACACUUAGCUAAUUAUUUAUUUAUUUAUUUAUUUAGUAGAGACACGGGUCUCACUAUGUUGCCCAGUCUGGUCUCGGACUCCUGGGCACAAGCCAUCCUCCUGUCUUGGCCUCCCAAAGUGGUGGGAUUACAGGUUUGAGCUACUGUGCCUGGCCAGGAUUUUCUUACUAACAUUUUCUUUUCUCUAGCUCAUUUUAUUGUAAGUCUACAGUAUAUAAUACAUGUAACAUACUAAAUGUGUCUUAAUUAAAUGUUUAUGUUAUUGG
rnacentral:lncRNA from 1 species